UCCCAGUGUGGCGUAUAAAUAAAGGCGAGGAGAAGGCGGUGGUCCGCCAUUUCGUGGACGCCGGGUGAGAGAGAGCAUCGGUGCGAGUGCGGCCGGAGCAGAGCGGGACGGUCCAUCGGAGCGUGAGGACUUGAGCCUCCGCACUUAAACCUUAGAUUUCGAAAUGCAUCGUGAUUCCUGUCCAUUGGACUGUAAGGUUUAUGUAGGUAAUCUUGGAAACAAUGGCAACAAGACUGAAUUGGAACGGGCUUUUGGCUAUUAUGGACCACUCCGAAGUGUGUGGGUGGCUAGAAACCCUCCCGGCUUUGCAUUUGUUGAAUUUGAAGAUCCCCGAGAUGCAGCUGAUGCAGUCCGCGAGCUAGAUGGAAGAACACUAUGUGGUUGCCGUGUAAGAGUGGAACUGUCUAAUGGUGAGAAAAGAAGUCGAAAUCGUGGCCCACCUCCCUCUUGGGGUCGUCGCCCUCGAGAUGAUUAUCGUAGGAGGAGUCCUCCACCUCGCCGCAGAGUCACCAUCAUGUCUCUUCUCACCACCCUCUGAAUCUGCAUUAGCCAGUCAACUAGCCCUUUCAGCGUCAUGUGACCAGCGCGCCCCAUUCAGCUUGGCUGGUGUCGUUUCACAUGACCCAGGCUGGCCAGUCGUCAGGUUGCACCGCCCUUUGGUUCCCGAGCAUGCUGUUUUCUCUCAGCCUUCUCUCCAACCUUAACCAAAUCGGCAGCAGCCACCUCGACCGCCCACACAUUCCUGGCCAAUCAGCUCAGCUGUUUAUUUACCAAAUGUCUUCACAACAACUACAGCAGCAGCCUUCGGCUAACAAAAAAGCAGGAAAAAUCCACAACACCCCCUUCGCCAACCAACUAAAUCCAACGCAACAUCUGGCAAAACCUUUUCAGCAAAUUCUUCCUGGCCGUCAGUCCGGCAGCCUCACCUCACCAUUUCUAGCUUGUUGAAACCCAAAACUAAUCUCCAAGAAGGAGAAGCUUCUCUCGGAGCCGGAGCAGGUCCCUUUCUAGAGAUAGGAGAAGAGAGAGAUCACUGUCUCGGGAGAGAAAUCAUAAGCCCUCCCGAUCCUUCUCUAGGUCUCGAAGCCGAUCUAGGUCAAAUGAAAGAAAAUAGAAGAUCAGUUUGCAAGAGAAGUGGUGUACAGGAAAUGACUUCAUUUGACAGGAGUAUGUACAGAAAAUUCAAGUUUUGUUUGAGACUUCAUAAGCUUGGUGCAUUUUUAAGAUGUUUUAGCUGUUCAAAUUUAUUUGUCUCUUGGAACAGUGACACAAAAGCUCUAAUUCUCUAUGGUUUGAAAUGGAUCAUAUGAGGCAUGUAAUACCAAGAAUUGUUACUUUACAAUGUUCCCUUAAGCAAAAUUGAAUUUGCUUUUUAGUUUUGCAUAAACUAAUAAACCUCUAAAUUCUGCCCAGUUGAAGUUUGGAUUUUUUUAAAAUACAGAAACAAAAUUGGCAAAAAUUGAACUAAGAUUUCCCUUUUUAUCCACAUCUGGGAUAUAGUAUACAGCUAUAGUUGAACAAGCAGUCUUUAAAAGCUGCUGUGAAACAAGCCAACAGGUAGAAAUAAAAGCUGCACUAUUAUACUAAAUUAGAGGUUUUUGAAAAAUCUAUCUAGUUUUCACCCUGGGCAGAGGUUGCCUAAUUGGUAUAGUUAGAAUCUGGUAAAUUCCAAGAAACUUUUUUUGUUUGCUUUAGAUCAUAAGUUCCUUAUGUGAUUGCUAUAUAUGAAUACAUAGCUGUUUGUAAUGUUCUUUAUUUGGAAAUUUGAGAUAAUCAAAAUACCAAUGUCCUGCCAGUUUAAGGGUACAUUGUAGAGCUGAACUUUGAGUUACUGUGCAAGAUUUUUUUUUUCCAUGCUGUCAUUUGUAAUAUGUUUUGUGAGAAUCCUUGGGAUUAAAGUUUUGGUUACAAUUGUUGUUUAACUUGAAAGCCUGUUUUUCCUUGCAAACUCAAAUCUGUGAGCUUGGUACAAAGUCCAGGUAUAACAUUCCUAUUGGAAGCCAUACUUAUAUUUUCUUGUAAAGUGCUUUUGAAUUAAUAAAAUAUUAGCAUAAUUGUGUAAUAGUCAGUUGGACCCACUGUUACCAUUGUUUUUACCCCAGGGGAAGCAUUUGGUUACACAAUGCUUAUUAUAAGAAACAUUACCUGAAAGGCACUAUGGAUUAGUCUUCUGAAGUGACAGGAAUACUUAUCACCUAAGUGAUAAUAGUUACCCAUUCUUUUAAGGAGUAGAAGCCAAUUUAAGAUCCAUGAUAGUGACCAGUAUUUUAAAGUAUAGCAGCAACCUGAUACUUAUAACCCAGAGUUGCCCGCUUAAAAGUGGCUUUUAUCUUUAGCAUGAAAAGUUUCCACAAAGUUUUAAAACUUGCUUCCAUUUUAUAAUUUGAGGUGUUGCAUGGGAAUACUAAACCAGUCCAUCAUGAUGUAAAGUUCACGAUAUGGUUCAAAUGUAAUAGUGCAGAAUUGAAUGAAUAUGGAGGCAUGCAUAACCUUCCUUUUAGAAAAUGGGAGGGGUUGUAAUUUCAAAUUUUUGUGCAAUUAGAUUAAAUCAUAAUGCAACAGU